GGGGAAUAUUGGACAAUGGGCGCAAGCCUGAUCCAGCCAUACCGCGUGUGUGAAGAAGGCCUUAGGGUUGUAAAGCACUUUAAGUUGGGAAGAAAGGUUAUUGGCUAAUACCCAAUAACUGUGACAUUACCAUCAGAAUAAGGACCGGCUAAUUCCGUGCCAGCAGCCGCGGUAAUACGGAAGGUCCAAGCGUUAAUCGGAAUUACUGGGCGUAAAGCGCGCGUAGGUGGUUUAUUAAGUUGGAUGUGAAAUCCCCGGGCUCAACCUGGGAACUGCAUUCAAAACUGGUUCACUAGAGUACGAUAGAGGGAGGUAGAAUUCACAGUGUAGCGGUGGAAUGCGUAGAUAUUGUGAAGAAUACCAAUGGCGAAGGCAGCCUCCUGGAUCUGUACUGACACUGAGGUGCGAAAGCGUGGGUAGCGAACAGGAUUAGAUACCCUGGUAGUCCACGCCGUAAACGAUGUCAACUAGCUGUUGGAAAGCACUGCUUUUCAGUGGCGCAGCUAACGUAGUAAGUUGACCGCCUGGGGAGUACGGCCGCAAGGUUAAAACUCAAAUGAAUUGACGGGGACCCGCACAAGCGGUGGAGCAUGUGGUUUAAUUCGAUGCAACGCGAAAAACCUUACCUAUGCUUGACAUACUUGGAAUACUUUGUAAUGAAGUAGUGCCUUCGGGAGCCAAGAUACAGGUGCUGCAUGGCUGUCGUCAGCUCGUGUCGUGAGAUGUUCCGUUAAGUCGGAUAACGAGCGCAACCCUUACCCUUAUUUGCCAGCGAUUCGGUCGGGAACUAUAAGGGGACUGCCGGUGAUAAACCGGAGGAAGGUGAGGACGACGUCAAGUCAUCAUGGCCCUUACGCAUAGGGCUACACACGUGCUACAAUGGAGAAUACAGACGGACGCUAAGCCGCGAGGUGGUGCCAAUCCUAGAAAAUUCUUCGUAGUCCGGAUUGGAGUCUGCAACUCGACUCCAUGAAGUCGGAAUCGCUAGUAAUCGCGAAUCAGCAUGUCGCGGUGAAUACGUUCUCGGGUCUUGUACACACCGCCCGUCAUACCAUGGAAGUGGAUUGCACCAGAAGUAGAUAGUCUAACCUUAGGGAGGGCGUUUACCACGGUGUGGUUCAUGACUGGGGUAAAGUCGUAACAAGGUAGCCGUAGGGGAACCUGUGGCUGGAUCACCUCCUUAACGAA
rnacentral:rRNA from 1 species